rnacentral:tRNA from 1 species
GGCGGAGUAGCUCAACGGUAGAGCAGGGGACUCAUAAGCCCUUGGUUGUAGGUUCGAAUCCCACCUCCGCCA